UGGGGAAUAUUGCACAAUGGGCGCAAGCCUGAUGCAGCCAUGCCGCGUGUAUGAAGAAGGCCUUCGGGUUGUAAAGUACUUUCAGCGGGGAUGAAGGGAGUAAAGUUAAUACCAUUGCUCAUUGACGUUACCCGCAGAAGAAGCACCGGCUAACUCCGUGCCAGCAGCCGCGGUAAUACGGAGGGUGCAAGCGUUAAUCGGAAUUACUGGGCGUAAAGCGCACGCAGGCGGUUUGUUAAGUCAGAUGUGAAAUCCCCGGGCUCAACCUGGGAACUGCAUCUGAUACUGGCAAGCUUGAGUCUCGUAGAGGGGGGUAGAAUUCCAGGUGUAGCGGUGAAAUGCGUAGAGAUCUGGAGGAAUACCGGUGGCGAAGGCGGCCCCCUGGACGAAGACUGACGCUCAGGUGCGAAAGCGUGGGGAGCAAACA
rnacentral:rRNA from 1 species